GCGGGCUGGAGUCCCUCUAUGCUCGGCUUCAGCGGUGACCGAUCGAUCUCCGCGGUUGCUUGACUUGAGCUCCGAGGCCAAUCCCGAGGUAGCGGGGAGACAUGGAAACCGUUAGCUUGGAAGAACCGCGAAUCCUUCCUCGGUGUGGCAUCCGGUGCCCUAGAGCCGGGCGGGGGGCACAGAGCCCGGGCUCGACCUGCUCCUGCUUCUGGGUGGCGUGGGUUCCGCACGAGAGAGCUUCUUCUAGGUAGCAGGAGGAACCUGCAUGCGCCCCUCUGCGUCCUGCAGACCCUGCUGAUCUCAGUCAUGAGUCUAAUAAGAGAGAAGCCAUCCAUUUGGAAAGCAUUCAUUUGGAAAGGAAACCAUUGACACCUCUUAGAAAGACGAGAAAUACGGCUUAGGAACAGUGAGGCAUGAACAUUUCUGCCCCCAGGUCCCAUUAACUCAGGGGUGAGAAUAAAGAAAAAAAUAGUAAAUGCAUAUUUAUAUUCUAGAUGUUAUUUAUAAUGCCAACUUCUUACAUUGUUUACUUGAUUGCUAAGGAUUUUUGAAAUACAGAAUCCUCCAACAUGAUGUAUAGAAAAGAAAAACACUUGUUUUUUUUUUUUUUUCUUUUACCAGGCCAGAUAAACAAAUGGAUCAUUCUUUGUAUGGCCAAGCUAUUAUUGGACUGGACAUUGUUAUAUAUUAAUGGAGUUUUUUGUCUGAAUCUG